rnacentral:ncRNA from 1 species
UGCCUGUUUAGUCUUGUCAGUCGUAUCACUGAGUUUGAAUCAUGCAUAUAUCAGUGUACGCCGUAUUAAAGCAAAACCACGAACUGCUCAUUAAAUCGGCUAUGUUUUCAUGUAUCUUACCUUACAUAACUGCCAAAUCCAGAGCCAAUACAUAAAGCAGAGAUUACUUUCGUGGGAAAUGGCUUUUACGAUCAAAAACACUCUGAACUCGCGUCUAUGCUAAGUGGUUAUAGCAUAAAUUGAGGUUGUAUACCAAUACAUUUUUAAAGUGUGCCUUAACCGUCUAUUAUCCACCUGCCAUAGUAGCAACGGAAUCGGGUUUCGAUUCCAGAGAGAGAACCUGGGAAAUGACUACUGCAUUGAAGGAAAGUAGCUGAUACGCAUAUUAUUAAUUACCAGAGCGGGAGGUAGCGACAAAAACUGCAAGUAUGGGAUUUCCGAGAACCCAAUAAUUAGAAUGAAUACACUAAAUCUUUUAACGAGGGUCAAUAGGAAGGCAAAUCUGCGUCAAAAGCCACGGUGAUUCUAGCUACAACAACUUGUAUUAAAGCUAUUGAAGUUAAAAACUUGGGGAUGGAUCUCAA